GACGAACGCUGGCGGCGUGCCUAAUACAUGCAAGUCGAACGCAGUGGGGACGGGUGAGUAACACGUGGGUAACCUCCCAUCAGAGGGGAUAAAACUUGGAAAAAGGUGCUAAACCGAUACUGAUGGAUGGACCAGCGGUGCAUUAGCUAUUUGGUGAGGUAACGGAUCACCAAGGCCACGAUGCAUAGCCGAGCUGAGAGGGGGAUCGGCCACACUGGGACUGAGACACGGCCCAGACUCCUACGGGAGGCAGCAGGAGGGAAUCUGCGGCAAUGGGCGAAAGUCUGACCGCGCAACGCCGCGUGAGUGAAGAAGGUUUUCGGAUCGUAAAACUCUGUUGUUAGAGAAGCGGUAUCUAACCAGAAAGCCACGGCUAACUACGUGCCAGCAGCCGCGGUAAUUC
rnacentral:rRNA from 1 species